AGCGUCUUCUUGUCACCGUCUGAGAGAUGGAGGAAGGUCUGGCUGAGGCGAGGUGACACGUUGGUCUCCUCCAAUCCGGGCACGCCAGCCACAGAGAGUGUGAGGGCUAGAAGCAGAGCAGAGACCCGGGAAUGGAGCCUUCACGACGUAGUGACCACUGAGGACUGCUGCUUGCCAUGCCCUCUGUGAAUGAAAUGCAGCCAGCCGUGAGUGGCCACCCUCCUCCCAGGACGCGCCACGUAAGGCUGCAUAGUUGUGUUCUCCGAAAUGUCAGGAGUGUUGGAGGACACCGAUUUCGACUAUCAGGUGAACGUGCCCCUAGGAUGGGGAGACAGAAACUACUUCCACCUUCUCCCCUAGGUAAGAGCAGUCGGGCCCUGGGCAGGGGCUUCCUCCCCCAGAGGCAUCUCUGCUGGCCCUUUAAUCUGACAGCCCCCCUCUUGCCAGAACAGUGAGUUCCUCUCUCCCUCCCAAGUCCUCACGGUGCUUCAACAAACCGCAUUUCCAGGGGGAAACUGGGACUGAACUCAGGGCUGUUUGAUACUAAGUCUCAUCAUUAACUUAUAAGACCCGAGGGCUCAAAGCCAGCCCAGUGAGGUUCUCAUCUCCGCAUCCCCACCCGGGUUACGGGCACCCAGAGGGUGCUGGUGGGGUCAGAGUUGCUCCCUAAUUUGUCAAAGGACACACACAAACUCUGGAGUCUGGGGGCCUGGGUUCAAAUCCUGCUGCAUCCCAGCUGCCCUGGCUGCAGACACGGGCCUGGGCUUCACCUCCUUGCUUCCCAGAUGCACCAUGGAAGUGAGUCCACCCCUGGAGGGGGACCUGUCACUGCCACUCACCCGC